rnacentral:lncRNA from 1 species
UUUUUUUUUUUUUUUUUUUUUUUUUUACAGAUUUAUCUAUUUGAGAGAGAACAAGAGAGGGAGAGAGGAGAGCGCAGAGGGAGAGGGAGAUACAGGCUCCCUGCUGUUUGUUUCUUUCUUCUCUUUGAGAUGGUCCCAUUAUACCUAGUUUGCACCUUUUCUAGUUUUUCCACAGUCCUUGGAUAUUGUGCUGGUUUUUUUUAUAGUUUUGUUCUCUCUGAUUUUUGGUUAUUAAGGGUUCUAUUGUCAUAAACUCUAAUUCAGAGAUUCUUUCCUCAGCCAUGUCAACUAAUAAACCCAUAGAGAUGUUCUUUCCUGUUAUAGUGUUUUUUUUCUCUAGUACUUUUUUGUUGCUAUUCUUUCUUACUAUUUCUAUGUCUCUGUUUACAUUACUCAGCUGUUUUUGUGUUGUCUACCUUAUCCAUCAGAGCCUAUAGCAUACUAAUUAAUCAUAGUUGUUGUAAAUUCCUGUUUUGUGAAAAACAGGGUAAGAAUCACAAACUUCGGAAAAUGUGCAUGAUAUGAAAGUGGGGUGCUAUGUUAAAAAUAAAUAUAUAAUAACAAUAACAAAAUUCCAAUAUCUCCACUAUGUCUCGUUUUGAUGCUUGCUCUAUCUCUUCAAAUCAUGUUUUGUCUUUUGGUUUUGGUUUGCUUUAUUUUUUUUUCUUGAUAGUCAGACAUAAUAUGUUGGGGUAAAAGGAACUGCUACAAAUAAAACCUUCAGUAAUGUAGUGGUGGGGGGGGGAGGGGAACAUUGUAUAAUUCCAUGAUUAGGUCUUAGUCUUUUAGAAAGUCAAUGCUUAUGGACUGUGAACUUCACAAGAGCUUUUCAGUUGGCUCUUGUUUUUUUCUACUGGAGGAAGGACAGGAUGGGUAGAGCUGGCAAUAGUUGGGCGUUUCUCUUACUCAGAUUAGUUAGGUACUGAUAAGUCAGUUUAGGUUUCCUUAACGUUUCCCCUGAGGGCAGGGUGUGUUAAGAACAUAGUGAUCUGGUGUAUUUCAAAAUGGUUCCUUUUCCACUUGCCAGGAGAAAUGGACUUCUCCUUGACAGAAGUCCAAGAAGAGUUUUCUUCAAUAUUAAUUCUGGGAAUCUGUUCUAACCCCUAAAGGUGAAUCUCACAAUACUGUGAUGGGCCCGCUAUGAUUGGGUCUCACUGGAGUUGUUAAGUCUCAGAAUUGUCCAUAUUGAGCCUCCAACAAUUAAUUAUAGUGCAGGGUUUCCUACCCAGGCACCUGUUCUUGUGUGUGGUUUCAAUCUCUUAUGAAUUCAUAAGAGAUUUUUCAGUCUGACGAGCUUUUUACUUGUUGUUAGGAUAGAGUGGGAUUUCCAAGCUCCUCACAUGUAUAACCGAAACUGGAAACAUUUUUCCUUAAUUUUCAAUGGGAAUAUAUGAUCUUAUUCUUUUUUAUUUUUAAAGAUUUAUUUAUUUAUUUAUUCAUGGGACACACAGAGAGAGAGAGAGAGAGAGAGAGAGAGGCAGAGACACUGGUAGAGGGAGAAGCAGGCUCCAUGCAGGGAGCCCAACGUGGGACUCGAUCCCAGAUCUCCAGGAUCAUGCCCUGGGCAGAAGGCGGAACUAAACCACUGAGCCACCCAGGCUGCCCCUGAUUUUAUUCUUAAGGACUAAAAACCUGUGUCAUUUAUUUUUUCACAAAUAAUGGUAACUUAUUCAUUCAUCUAUAUGAACUGAUGAAAUAUUAAAUUAAAAAUAUAUUUUUUCAAUUCAGGUAAAAGGGAAGUGCUCCCUUACUGCUAUUUUAAAAAUAACAACGUAAUGUUUAAUAGUUGAUUCUAUAUUUUAAAAUUUCCAUUUUAUCCUAAAAAGCAUUUUUCAUCUAACUUAUAUUAAUAAUUUUCAUUCUUUGCCACAUUUUCCUGAAUAAGUGAAAAAUAUUGCAAAGAUAGCCUGUGCCAAUUUUGCUGUGAACAAAGGUUAAAUUCUACACAUGGUUCUGCUAGCAAGAAAGCAAAAAUCUUCUAAAUAGGGUUGUAAAAACUUGUACUCUGUAUGUAAAAGUUGCUUUUCUUUCCCUUUAAUUGGUUUACUUUUUUAAAUUAUUAUUUUUAAAAUAUUUUAUUUAUUUAUUCAUGAGAGACACACAGAAAAAGGCAGAGACAUAGGCAGAGGGAGAAGCAGGCAGAGAGCCUGAUGUGGGACUCGAUCUCGGAGUCCCAGGAUCACACCCUGGGCCAAAGGCAGAUGCCCA